CAUGUGAGAUAUUUGGGGCAGGCCUGGGUAAGAAGCGACACUGGAGACACUUGAGAGUGUAUGGGGGGGGGUGGCGGUGAGGGGUGCUGAGCCAUUCGGGAAGGAUGCGAAAUGCAGGGUGAGGCCACACCCAUCACACCCACUGCACCCCGCCUGCACCACACCCACCCGGCCUCUCUCCUGCAGGAAACAAGUGGAGACCAAGGCAGACACCUCCGCCCCGGGAGCUACAUGCAUACAGGAUAAAGUUGACUAGUUGUUAAAAAAAAAAAAAAAAAAAAAGUCCUCUGAUCCAGAAAAUGCGGUCUUACUUUUGACCAAUCAGCUUGGAGAAGAUUAGAAAGAGCGAUAAUACCCAGUGUUGGCCAGGCUGCAGACAAAGGCUGCGUCUUACGCCUUCUGAGAGGAGUGCUGAUUCAUGACAUAAUCCUGGGGAGGCUGUUCUCGCCGUGCACAUGUUCCGGCAGCAUUCCAUAGGGCCAGUUUGUUCAAAAUAAACGUUGGGUCCUACAGCUCCAGCAGGAUGAAGCAGCUGGUAUCAGGGCUCCCCCAAUGCUGCAAUCACUGUAAAGGGGCCCAAAGCGUCCGAAGUAGGUAUUUGGGGGGCGGGGGACGAGGCAGCGCCGGAGCAGCACCAUGCCCUCGAGGAACCAGGGAGGUGUGAAGCCUGCAGACCACGGAACAGCAUCUUUAAAGCACCGAGAGGAAGACCCGCUGCCCUAAACGUCUGUACCGGUAAGAACAUCCGACAGAAAUCAGGGCUGAUGAAACCUGGGGAAAUUCUCACUACGAGAAAUACUAUAGGACAGUCCUUAAGACGAAGGACGAUGAUCCCUGAUGGAAACACAGAAGUUGCAGAUGAAAUGAGCUACGCCUGAAAGAGCAAGUGUUAGACGUGACCACUGAACGCAUAGAAAUAAUGUCUUGUGAGCUUAUAACAUGUAGAAGUAAACUAUGUAAGUGAAAAGUGAUGGGAGCGGGGACAUUCCAUUAAGCUGUUGUGUGUUCUUGCAGCCUUUGAGGUGCAGUGAAGCUCUCAUUUAAUGCUGCGAAAAUUAAGGAUGCCUUGUGUGACUCCCAGAGAGCCAUUCCAAAGACACCCCGAAAUAGAACCCAAACAGCUGACAGAGGAGAACAGAGGCAACAUUUAAAUACCUGAUAAUACCAGACAGGCAGCAAGAGUGGAGUAGAGAUUAGAUCAAACGGGAAACAGAUAGCAAGAGGGCUAAAGCCAGCUGGGUCAGAAAUCAUCACUUGUGAAGAGCUGAGACCAGAGAUGGUUGGACGCGUGGGUAGAUGAGUAACAUAUAAUGAAGUCUUUCGACUUACGUACCCAGCACUGGGGGGGUGUAUUCAUGGAUGGGCGUCCACACAGCAGAAGUCCAAGCAGCCCUGAGUGGGCACAGGACGGUCCAGCGGGGCCGCGGGCAGCGAGGGGGCAGGUGCCGCAGGUGAUGUUGGCAGGAGGUGAGCCCUGGGGGUCACUCAGCUGGAAGGGCGCUCACGCUGGAUCCACACGGGACCCGCUAUAAACUCACUGGAGCCUGUCUGGCAGCCCCAACAUGUCACGAGUGGCGGGGUUAGAAUCGGGGCUGCGGGCCCAGAGGCAGCCUUCCUGCUCCCCUUUCUCUGCCCCCCAUCGGGAGGCCCUCGGUUAUCUCUCUGGCUCUUUACGCCCGUCCAUCUGGGGCCCCCCGGCUCCGCUGCAUGAAUUUCCUCAUCAGAAGCCCAAAAGGUGAGCCUUGCGUCACGUCCAAACCAUGCAUCGUCACCCGGGGGGCAGCCGAGGGGCGACCCCAGAGUCUCCACUGCGACCCUGCCCUUACCAGGCUUCUAAGGUCGUGGUGACAGAGAGGGAAACUCAGGGACCUAGCUGAAAGGACUCGGCCGACGGCAGAUGAGCAGGCGGCCCAUUGGAAGGAGCUUCUGCCAGAGCUGGUUCUCAGCCCCUGGACCCCGGGCUUGCCCGGCUGGCGGCAAAGGCCAGGAAGUGGCAGAGACAGAAGACGUAAGGAAAGACGACCACUCUCCUCACGACGGACAUUAGCGUUCCUUCAGAUGAUGAGCUGGGAGUGAGACAGGAGUAUCUGAGGGUUCAGAGACCAACGCAGGCAGUUAGAGGCUAUGAACUUCGUCAUGCCGUCUGGGGCCAAAGCUGCAUCCCUCAGUCCAUGCGGGGCCGAUCUACCCCCAGGCUGGCCCCUGUCACCGUAGGGGGGCAGUGUGCGGUGUCCACAUGGCCAGGAAGGCCCCGGAGGUGAGGAGGGGCCCAGGGCCGGGGCGGGGGCCGCAGGAAGCAGCAGCAAGGAGGACGUGAGCUGGGUGUCCUCUCAUGGUCAGGAUAUUGAUGGAAAGGGAGCUGUGUCCCUCCUGGGCUGGGGAGGGGUCGGGAAGAAGGAGGGUGCAGGUGGCAUGCCCAAUCCUGCCAGGUUCUGUCCCCAGGUUGUGUGUGAGGUGAGGAGAAAUGGUACCAGAGGUGUCCCGGGCAGCCCCCGCCCAGCCCCCGCCCCGUCCACUCUGGAAGUCCAGGGCGCCCCCAGUCUCAGCGCCCGGGCUGUCACCACGGCCGCCCGCUGCCCUCAGGGUGGCCCACCCUUCAGGACUUAGCCCCUCUCUGCCACUUCGCUGACUGCAGCCUCCGCCGGCCGGGAGGUUCCCCGCGAGUUUGCAGGACCCGACGCCAGGGCGGGUGCGUUAGCUUCUCACGGGAUGGUGUGUUCAGGCGACACGCGUCCGUGGAGCGCAGCCAGGAGAGUGCCGGCGUUUUCCUCGGCGUGAGCGUUUCCUCCUCUGUCUUAGUGCUGAGGUCCAGACCUGUGCUGAUUACCACCUGUACCAGCAAUUUCUCUUUUUACUUUUUUAUAAACAAUAAAAGCAAAAUGAAACGUAAAA